UUAAGAGCCCUGGAGGGUGGAGAUUCCUCUGUAGGGCAAGUACGAUCAGGGGAAGUAGCAGGGCCAGCUUCCCUCACAAACAUGUCUUAAAUACCACCAACUCCUGGGGCCAGAGGGCAGUUCAGUCUCCACAGCCCAUUCAGUCCUUGUUUUCU
rnacentral:sRNA from 1 species